rnacentral:rRNA from 1 species
AUGAAAACCAAUACAACUCCUGGCCUAGAUGGCUUACCAGUAAUCUUUUAGAAACAUUUUUGGGAGAUGGUUAAAGAGAUGGUCAAAAGAAUGCUUGAUAGCCAGCAUGCUGAGGAGUUGCAACUUAGAAGACUUAAUUAUGGGGUGGUUACUCUGAUUCCUAAAACGAAAGAUGCUGCAACUAUCAAGCAAUAUCGUCCAAUAUGUUUAUAUUACGUUUGUUAGAAAAUUGUGACUGAAGUACUGACAAAUAGGCUUGAGAGAGUUGUAGAUAAGGUGGUGAGUAAGAGUCAGACGGCAUUUAUGAAAAACGGAAAUAUUUUAGAUGGGGUGGUCACUAUCCAUGAGGUGUUUCAUGAGCUUAGGAGGUGUAGUGAGUAUCAAUAUUAA